rnacentral:rRNA from 1 species
CCCUUAGAUGUUCUGGGCCGCACGCGCGCUACACUGACGAAUGCAACGAGCUUAUAACCUUGGCCGAAAGGUCUGGGUAAUCUCCAAAUUUCGUCGUGAUGGGGAUAGAUUAUUUCAAUUAUUAAUCUUCAACGAGGAAUGCCUAGUAAGCGCAAGUCAUCAGCUUGCGUUGAUUACGUCCCUGCCCUUUGUACACACCGCCCGUCGCUCCUACCGAUUGAAUGGUCCGGUGAAGCGUUCGGACCGUGGCCUUUGGACGGUUCGCCGUCUGUUGGCUGCGGGAAGUUCGUUAAACCUUAUCAUUUAGAGGAAGGAGAAGUCGUAACA